GGAAUUCGAUUCGGGUGUGACAAGGCCCGGGAACGUAUUCACCGCAGCGUUCUGAUCUGCGAUUACUAGCGAUUCCAGCUUCAUGGAGUCGGGUUGCAGACUCCAAUCCGAACUGAGGCCGGCUUUUUCCGAUUAGCUCCCCCUCACGGGUUUGCGACGGUUUGUACCGACCAUUGUAGCACGUGCGUAGCCCUGGACAUAAAGGCCAUGAGGACUUGACGUCAUCCCCACCUUCCUCCUCGCUAUCCGAGGCAGUUUCACUAGAGUGCCCGGCUUGACCCGAUGGCAACUAGGGAUAAGGGUUGCGCUCGUUGCGGGACUUAACCCAACAUCUCACGACACGAGCUGACGACAGCCAUGCAGCACCUCCGCAGCAGCCUUUUAAGGGGAAGGGAUAUUUCUACCCCGGUCCACUGCGCUUCGAGCCCAGGUAAGGUUCUUCGCGUUAAUCACUA
rnacentral:rRNA from 1 species